GCGCCGUGGUAAUGGGAUAACUUGUUGUUAGCUCAGGUAGUUCCAGGAACAUCUAAGCCGUGGGUCGCAGGUUCGAAUCCUGCACGGCGCGCCA
rnacentral:tRNA from 1 species